rnacentral:rRNA from 1 species
CCUACGGGAGGCAGCAGUGGGGAAUAUUGGGCAAUGGGCGCAAGCCUGACCCAGCAACGCCGCGUGAAGGAAGAAGGCCCUCGGGUUGUAAACUUCUUUUAUUCGGGACGAAACAAAUGACGGUACCGAAUGAAUAAGCCUCGGCUAACUACGUGCCACGAGCCGCGGCAAUCCGUGGGUGGCAAUCGUUAUCCGGAUUUACUGGGUGUAAAGGGCGUGUAGGCGGGAGGGCAAGUCAGACGUGAAAUUCCAGGGCUUAACCCUGGAACUGCGUUUGAAACUGUUCUGCUUGAGUGAUGGAGAGGCAGGCGGAAUAAGGGGUGUAGCGGUGAAAUGCGUAGAUAUAAGGAAGAACACCAGUGGCGAAGGCGGCCUGCUGGACAGUAACUGACGCUGAGGCGCGAAAGCGUGGGGAGCGAACAGGAUUAGAUACCCGUGUAGUC